CCCUCUCUCUCUCUCAAAUCAUUUUUUUAUCACAAACCUCUGUUUCUUCUGCUAUAAUGAGAUCUGCGUUAAAAAUCGGACCGAAUUAGUUGUUCUUCGAGUUUAUUAAUCCUUGAACCUGAUCCGUAAUCACGGAUCUGAAUCCGGGAUAAAUCAUUUUUUGGCCACUCGUAUACGUACCAAGAAUCCACUUCGGUAAGCUCUGCUGAACUCAAAGGUGCCACUGCAUAUGAGGUUUCUGGUAAUCGUUGGAGUUAACAAGGGUCCAAGUUGUGGCAAUGAUAUCUUUUCUUCGAGUGCUGUAGCUGGAGCUAGACAAGCCUUAAUUAGCAGAGUAACGUCGUUAUCAAUCUCCUUGAACUAGUAAAUAAGGCUUAUUUUGUGCUUUGCGGGUUUUCCUUUACUUUAAUACUAUUGAGUGCGGUUAACAUACAUUAAGCCUUAUCGUACUUCACGUACGCGACACCAGUAACCGUCGGAUCAGGGCACUAAUCACGCAUAAGACACAAAAUAACGCAUGGGAUCCAUUUUUUGGUGAUAAUCACUCAUGGGGGGGGGGGGUGAUAAUCACGCAUGGAAAGUAUAAUCACGCACGUCACGU